rnacentral:lncRNA from 1 species
CAUUUGAAUAGAACUCCAUAAAUUGAAAAUAAAGAAACCAAAAAAAAAUCCUUUCAAUUGAAAAUCCCCAAACCCUACAAAAUAUCAUGCUUCUACCCAGAUUAGCUCUCCAAAACCUCAAGCUCACAUCGCUGCAACUCACAUAAAAUCUCAUAUCAUCGGAACCUCAAAACCCCUCUAAUAUCCUUGGAUGCUCUCCUUCUCCAUAGAUCUCCAAAAAAUGAUAACGAAAUGAAAAGAAAAAGAUGCAAAAACCAAAGGAAAAUGAUCAAUCUAUGAGGGAAAAGGGCAUACUUUUGAUUUU